rnacentral:pre_miRNA from 14 species
CUUGAGUUGUGCAAAAGUGCUUACAGUGCAGGUAGAGUUUAGGUUCUACUGCAGUAUAAGCACUUCUGGCAUUACUGUGG